rnacentral:rRNA from 1 species
ACGGAGGGUGCGAGCGUUAAUCGGAAUUACUGGGCGUAAAGCGCAUGCAGGUGGUUCACUAAGUCAGAUGUGAAAGCCCCGGGCUCAACCUCGGAAUUGCAUUUGAAACUGGUGAACUGGAGUGCGGCAGAGGGGGGUGGAAUUUCAGGUGUAGCAGUGAAAUGCGUAGAGAUGUGGAGGAACACCGAUGGCGAAGGCAGCCCCCUGGGCAGACACUGACACUCA